rnacentral:antisense_RNA from 1 species
CUUCACCGAGCCCAGCCAGAGCGGCUGCUCGCGGUCCCGGCCGUAGGUGGCGAGGAUCGCCUGGGCCUC